UGUGUGUUAGUGGAAGCGUCUGGAAAGGCGCGCGAUACAGGGUGACAGCCCCGUACACAAAAAUGCACAUGCUGUGAGCUCGAUGAGUAGGGCGGGACACGUGGUAUCCUGUCUGAAUAUGGGGGGACCAUCCUCCAAGGCUAAAUACUCCUGACUGACCGAUAGUGAACCAGUACCGUGAGGGAAAGGCGAAAAGAACCCCGGCGAGGGGAGUGAAAAAGAACCUGAAACCGUGUACGUACAAGCAGUGGGAGCACGCUUAGGCGUGUGACUGCGUACCUUUUGUAUAAUGGGUCAGCGACUUAUAUUCUGUAGCAAGGUUAACCGAAUAGGGGAGCCGAAGGGAAACCGAGUCUUAACUGGGCGUUAAGUUGCAGGGUAUAGACCCGAAACCCGGUGAUCUAGCCAUGGGCAGGUUGAAGGUUGGGUAACACUAACUGGAGGACCGAACCGACUAAUGUUGAAAAAUUAGCGGAUGACUUGUGGCUGGGGGUGAAAGGCCAAUCAAACCGGGAGAUAGCUGGUUCUCCCCGAAAGCUAUUUAGGUAGCGCCUCGUGAAUUCAUCUCCGGGGGUAGAGCACUGUUUCGGCAAGGGGGUCAUCCCGACUUACCAACCCGAUGCAAACUGCGAAUACCGGAGAAUGUUAUCACGGGAGACACACGGCGGGUGCUAACGUCCGUCGUGAAGAGGGAAACAACCCAGACCGCCAGCUAAGGUCCCAAAGUCAUGGUUAAGUGGGAAACGAUGUGGGAAGGCCCAGACAGCCAGGAUGUUGGCUUAGAAGCAGCCAUCAUUUAAAGAAAGCGUAAUAGCUCACUGGUCGAGUCGGCCUGCGCGGAAGAUGUAACGGGGCUAAACCAUGCACCGAAGCUGCGGCAGCGACGCUUAUGCGUUGUUGGGUAGGGGAGCGUUCUGUAAGCCUGUGAAGGUGUACUGUGAGGUAUGCUGGAGGUAUCAGAAGUGCGAAUGCUGACAUAAGUAACGAUAAAGCGGGUGAAAAGCCCGCUCGCCGGAAGACCAAGGGUUCCUGUCCAACGUUAAUCGGGGCAGGGUGAGUCGACCCCUAAGGCGAGGCCGAAAGGCGUAGUCGAUGGGAAACAGGUUAAUAUUCCUGUACUUGGUGUUACUGCGAAGGGGGGACGGAGAAGGCUAUGUUGGCCGGGCGACGGUUGUCCCGGUUUAAGCGUGUAGGCUGGUUUUCCAGGCAAAUCCGGAAAAUCAAGGCUGAGGCGUGAUGACGAGGCACUACGGUGCUGAAGCAACAAAUGCCCUGCUUCCAGGAAAAGCCUCUAAGCAUCAGGUAACAUCAAAUCGUACCCCAAACCGACACAGGUGGUCAGGUAGAGAAUACCAAGGCGCUUGAGAGAACUCGGGUGAAGGAACUAGGCAAAAUGGUGCCGUAACUUCGGGAGAAGGCACGCUGAUAUGUAGGUGAAGUCCCUCGCGGAUGGAGCUGAAAUCAGUCGAAGAUACCAGCUGGCUGCAACUGUUUAUUAAAAACACAGCACUGUGCAAACACGAAAGUGGACGUAUACGGUGUGACGCCUGCCCGGUGCCGGAAGGUUAAUUGAUGGGGUCAGCGCAAGCGAAGCUCUUGAUCGAAGCCCCGGUAAACGGCGGCCGUAACUAUAACGGUCCUAAGGUAGCGAAAUUCCUUGUCGGGUAAGUUCCGACCUGCACGAAUGGCGUAAUGAUGGCCAGGCUGUCUCCACCCGAGACUCAGUGAAAUUGAACUCGCUGUGAAGAUGCAGUGUACCCGCGGCAAGACGGAAAGACCCCGUGAACCUUUACUAUAGCUUGACACUGAACAUUGAGCCUUGAUGUGUAGGAUAGGUGGGAGGCUUUGAAGUGUGGACGCCAGUCUGCAUGGAGCCGACCUUGAAAUACCACCCUUUAAUGUUU
rnacentral:rRNA from 1 species